GCCCCCGUAGCUCAGGUGGACAGAGCACUGGCCUCCGGAGCCAGGUGCGGGCGUUCGAGUCGCCCCGGGGGUACAA
rnacentral:tRNA from 1 species